rnacentral:rRNA from 1 species
UGGGGGAUUUUGGACAUGGGCGCAGCCUGUCCAGCCUGCCGCGUGCAGGAUGAAGGCCUUCGGGUUGUAAACUGCUUUUGUACGGAACGAAACGGCCUUUUCUAAUAAAGAGGGCUAAUGACGGUACCGUAAGAAUAAGCACCGGCUAACUACGUGCCAGCAGCCGCCGGUAAUA